rnacentral:rRNA from 1 species
AUUAAAGUUGUUGCAGUUAAAAGCUCGUAGUUGAACCUUGGGCUUGGUUGGCCGGUCCGCUUUAUGGCGAGUACUGGACCCAACCGAGCCUUUCCUUCUGGCUAACCUUUCGCCCUUGUGGUGUUUGGAGAACCAGGACUUUUACUUUGAAAAAAUUAGAGUGUUCAAAGCAGGCCUUUGCUCGAAUAUAUUAGCAUGGAAUAAUAGAAUAGGACGUUAUGGUUCUAUUUUGUUGGUUUCUAGGACCAUCGUAAUGAUUAAUAGGGACGGUCGGGGGCAUCAGUAUUCAGUUGUCAGAGGUGAAAUUCUUGGAUUUACUGAAGACUAACUACUGCGAAAGCAUUUGCCAAGGACGUUUUCAUUAAUCAAGAACGAAAGUUAGGGGAUCGAAGAUGAUCAGAUACCGUCGUAGUCUUAACCAUAAACUAUGCCGACUAGGGAUCGGGUGUUGUUCUUUUUUUGACGCACUCGGCACCUUACGAGAAAUCAAAGUCUUUGGGUUCUGGGGGGAGUAUGGUCGCAAGGCUGAAACUUAAAGGAAUUGACGGAAGGGCACCACCAGGAGUGGAGCCUGCGGCUUAAUUUGACUCAACACGGGGAAACUCACCAGGUCCAGACACAAUAAGGAUUGACAGAUUGAGAGCUCUUUCUUGAUUUUGUGGGUGGUGGUGCAUGGCCGUUCUUAGUUGGUGGAGUGAUUUGUCUGCUUAAUUGCGAUAACGAACGAGACCUUAACCUACUAAAUAGUGCUGCUAGCUUUUGCUGGUAUAGUCACUUCUUAGAGGGACUAUCGAUUUCAAGUCGAUGGAAGUUUGAGGCAAUAACAGGUCUGUGAUGCCCUUAGACGUUNUGGGCCGCACGCGCGCUACACUGACGGAGCCAGCGAGUUCUAACCUUGGCCGAGAGGUCUGGGUAAUCUUGUGAAACUCCGUCGUGCUGGGGAUAAGCAUUGUANUAUUGCUCUC